UACGUAGGGGGCAAGCGUUGUCCGGAAUUACUGGGCGUAAAGGGAGCGUAGGCGGUCUGUUAAGUGGGAUGUGAAAAACCCGGGCUUAACCCGGGAGGUGCAUUCUAAACUGGCAGACUUGAGUGUGGGAGAGGAAAGUGGAAUUCCUAGUGUAGCGGUGAAAUGCGUAGAUAUUAGGAGGAACACCAGUGGCGAAGGCGGCUUUCUGGACCAUAACUGACGCUGAGGCUCGAAAGCGUGGGGAGCAAACAGGAUUAGAUACCCUGGUAGUCCACGCUGUAAACGAUGAAUACUAGGUGUAGGGGGUAUCAACUCCCUCUGUGCCGCAGCAAACGCAAUAAGUAUUCCGCCUGGGGAGUACGAUCGCAAGAUUGAA
rnacentral:rRNA from 1 species